rnacentral:rRNA from 1 species
UACGUAGGUGGCGAGCGUUGUUCGGAUUUAUUGGGCGUAAAGGGUCCGCAGGGGGUUUGCUAAGUCUGAUGUGAAAUCCCGGAGCUCAACUCCGGAACGGCAUUGGAGACUGGCGGACUUGAGUGCUGGAGAGGCAAGCGGAAUUCCAGGUGUAGCGGUGGAAUGCGUAGAUAUCUGGAAGAACACCGAUAGCGUAGGCAGCUUGCUGGACAGUAACUGACCCUCAUGGACGAAAGCGUGGGGAGCAAACAGGAUUAGAUACCCUGGUAGUCCACGCCGUAAACGUUGUGAACUUGAUGCGGGGGGAUUUACCCCUUUCCGUGUCGAAGCUAACGCGAUAAGUUCACCGCCUGGGGACUACGGCCGCAAGGCUAAA